AGAUGCUGUCCCUGGACCUCCUCCUUUACCAAGUGAUUUGACUUGUGUUAAACCUGAACUGAUAAAGCUAAAGGAUCCAAAGAAAAAUCAAGAUGUUGCUCCUGAACCGAGUGAUGUGACUUGUGUUAAACCUGAAGUGAUGAAGGAAAGAGCAGUGAUGGAGCUGGCGACAUGUUCUCAGAACUGAAGCGGGCCAUGGAGAAAAGUAAGAUGAACUAAAGUAAAGUAUUUGGAGAACAGUAUUGUAUUGACAAAGAGAUAGUUACACAAAAUUUAGAUUUACAGAUCAAAUCAAAUAAAAAUUGUAUUUGUCUCAUACAUAACCAUACACAUUUUGAAAGUGUAAACUGUAUAAAUUAUAUAAAUUACAUGUAUAUGGAGAGCAGCAGUAUGGGUGGCCAUGAAGUUUGAAAUAAAAUAAAGUGAUGUGUGAAAUUAAAUGACGUAUGUGUGACAGCAGCAGUAGUAGAUUUUACUACAUAAUUUUUAACAUCAGUAACAUGGCAAAUAUUUUCAUAGAGAGAGAAUGAUGGCCUAGAUUCAGGUGAGAGACAUAAACACAAUAAAGCCACGUGAAUAUUGGACAUUAAUGGUUAUGUUUGAAUAACUAUGUUUACUAUUAUCACCAUUUUAAUUUUUUUGCAAACAAAUGACAGUGCAUUUCAUCAUAACAGAAUUAAGAGGCCAAAAGGUGUCUGAAGUCACCUAGUAAUUUUAACCCUGAACUUUUUUUUUAAAGACCAGGGCUAUUUUAUAUUUUAACUGGAUUAUAGUCCAAAAGUCAUUCUUAAUUUUAAAGACAGAAUCAAAAUGUACUUGGUGAGCUGGAUUACAACCUUGCACUUGAUUGUGCUGUGUAAAUAAUGUGUUGCAGUUUGACUCAAAGAAAUACUUACCCUCAAAUUUAUUUCAUUCUAUUUUGUUUUCAUAAAAGCAC